AGGGUUGUAGCUCAGUGGUAAAGCGCUUGCCUAGCGUGCAAGAGGCACCAAGUUAGAUCCCUGGCACCACAU
rnacentral:tRNA from 1 species